rnacentral:rRNA from 1 species
GACGAACGCUGGCGGCGUGCUUAACACAUGCAAGUCGAACGGAAAGGCCCUGCUUUUGUGGGGUGCUCGAGUGGCGAACGGGUGAGUAACACGUGAGUAACCUGCCCUUGACUUUGGGAUAACUUCAGGAAACUGGGGCUAAUACCGGAUAGGAGCUCCUGCUGCAUGGUGGGGGUUGGAAAGUUUCGGCGGUUGGGGAUGGACGCGCGGCUUAUCAGCUUGUUGGUGGGGUAGUGGCUUACCAAGGCUUUGACGGGUAGCCGGCCUGAGAGGGUGACCGGCCACAUUGGGACUGAGAUACGGCCCAGACUCCUACGGGAGGCAGCAGUGGGGAAUAUUGCACAAUGGGCGGAAGCCUGAUGCAGCAACGCCGCGUGCGGGAUGACGGCCUUCGGGUUGUAAACCGCUUUCGCCUGUGACGAAGCGUGAGUGACGGUAAUGGGUAAAGAAGCACCGGCUAACUACGUG